UGCUCAUUAGCACUCCGAUGAGUGGUUUGCUAUGGGCAGGUCCCCCAGACGCCUCUCCCCUAGUAAGCUGGCCACACUGCUCCUCCAGGGAUCUCAGAGAGAUGGCAGCUUGUCAAGUUCCUGAGUCGCUGGUCUCAAUGUAGGUUGCUGCAAGGUUUGAUGCUUUAAUGACAUCAUGAAGGACCCAGAUUCAUUCCAUCUCUCUGCCCUGCAUUCCUCAAUGUGUCAGCUUUAUGCCAGAGUCACAAGAUGGCUACACUCCUCCAGGCAUUGUAUGCAGAUAUAACGACAUACCCCAAAAGAAGAGAAGACUUCUCCAGAAGCCUCCCAGGGGACCUUCACACAUGGCUUAUUAGAUCAGAGCCCCUCCUUAAACCAAUCACUAAAAAGGAAAAUGGAAUUGCCAUGAGUGGCUCAGCAAAAUCAUGAUUUACCCCUGGAUGGGAAUCAGGGUCACCUUCAAAGAGCAUAUGGACAUGUGAAGGAGCAUAAACACAAUCACCAAAUUGGGGCUCCCAUCAUCGGUUGCAGAGGCAGUCGACAGUGUCUGCUACAUCAAGUAGCAUCUAUCAAGUGGCAUUACUUUAACAAAUAUUAACAAUAGGGUCCUCAUCUCAGUUUAGAAGAAAAAUCCAAAAUCAAAGUAGACUGAAGAUAAGGUAAACGGUGAUGUUUGCCACACUAGUUGUGAGGUUUCAUAGUUUUGCCCAAACCAGUUUUUAUUUUUAGUGCUUGGUUGGGGUCACUGAAACUUCCAGGUUGUCCUAACCUGUUAAAAUCUUUUAAAACAUUAUUUGUGACUGUUUCUCUUUGGACAGUGCUUUUUGUUAAUCACAAAAAACAGGGUAGAAGGUAAUAACAUAUGCAAAGGGAUGUGUAGCAAUCAAAGGGAAAUGUUAUCCUUCCUAGGAGACAGGAUUUAUGAGAUUCCUGGAUCUCUUUUGUGUCUGAUUGUUGAGGUCUUGACAGCCUCUCAAUUGAGGAAUACGGUCGUGUCUGUUAAACUAAUUGUAGCUGUUCACUCCACUAUAUAAUUUUACAACAUUUCAGCUUCAAAUAGAAUGGCUUCAAUAAACAUAAAGCAGACUGACA
rnacentral:lncRNA from 1 species